rnacentral:rRNA from 1 species
AGCGAACGCUGGCGGCAGGCUUAACACAUGCAAGUCGAGCGGGCGUAGCAAUACGUCAGCGGCAGACGGGUGAGUAACGCGUGGGAACGUACCUUUUGGUUCGGAACAACACAGGGAAACUUGUGCUAAUACCGGAUAAGCCCUUACGGGGAAAGAUUUAUCGCCGAAAGAUCGGCCCGCGUCUGAUUAGCUAGUUGGUAGGGUAAUGGCCUACCAAGGCGACGAUCAGUAGCUGGUCUGAGAGGAUGAUCAGCCGCAUUGGGACUGAGACACGGCCCAAACUCCUCCGGGAGGCAGCAGUGGGGAAUAUUGGACAAUGGGGGCAACCCUGAUCCAGCCAUGCCGCGUGAGUGGUGAAGGCCCUAGGGUUGUAAAGCUCUUUUGUGCGGGAAGAUAAUGACGGUACCGCAAGAAUAAGCCCCGGCUAACUUCGUGCCAGCAGCCGCCGUAA